UACGGGGGGUGCAAGCGUUAUCCGGAAGUACUGGGUUUAAAGGGUGCGUAGGCGGCUUGAUAAGUCAGAGGUGAAAGCCUAUCGCUUAACGAUAGAAUUGGCUUUGAUACUGUAAAGCUUGAAAGGGGUUGAGGUCAGCAGAAUGUGGCAUGUAGCGGUGAAAUGCAUAGAUAUGCCAUAGAACACCGAUUGCGAAGGCAGCUGGCUGGGCCUACUUUGACGCUGAGGCACGAAAGCGUGGGGAGCGAACAGG
rnacentral:rRNA from 1 species